UGCACUUCUACAGAGCCACGUAGAGUGCAAAUGCCAAAUUAAGCAAACAGUACACGAGAAAAGCACAAACACCCUGAAAAAAGUUGUGAAUUUCAAACUCAAAAUUUGAGAAAAAAAUGCAAUUAACGUGAGUGGUUUAUGUAUGCCAAUUUUGUCCCUAAAUUUGCUCCCAAACACAAACCCCAUUUGUAUAUAAUCAGCAUUUGUUGUGUCUGAGGUUGCAUUUUCUUCCUAGGAUGUUAUUUAUUUUUGGGGUUCUUGAAAGGGCAAAUUUUUAUACAAGUUUCUUGAGGUUUUGAGACUGAGAGUGAAUGCUCCUUCCCAGAAAGAAAUUGAAGAUGGGCUAAAAGAUUGUGGGAAUAGCCUCAUCAACUUUCCUCAUUCUACUGAAGAGCUCAUCAGUCUUCUUGAUGUUCAUUUGUUGUUGGAAGAUGUCGUCGCUCUACAAGAAUGUGAUGGACCUUCAUCCGUAGAAGCAUUUCAUUUUUCAGAUAUAAAAGUAAUCAUUUGAAGGACUGUUUUAAAGUACAAAAUGUUUUUCUCUUAAUAAUACAAUGAGGUUGGUCCAAUUUUAAAACUGUAUUAAAAAGAACAUCAUUUCUUAGAUUCUUUUCUGCAAUAUUACUUUCCUAUUCUAAAUCUUAAACUCUAUCAUAAAGUUAAAAAUUUAGUCAAAUGCAUAAAAUAUCAAAUAUUCAAUAACUUAAACUGUCUCUCCCCACCUUUCCCUUUGUUUUUGUUUAACUGUUUUAGGCUGCUUGCAUGUGUUUGUCAACUAUACUUGUUGAGAGUUGAAAUAGCAAGGAUCUAGAAAGGUAUAAAAUAGAGAUACUUCAUAAGCUUCUUCGUUUGUCUCUCCUCCCUUCUUGCUACACGUCCAGGUUCAUCGUUGGUGCUGCUGGAAGAUGUUGUCGCUCUACAAGAAUGUGAUGGACCUUCAUCCGUACGCUCAACCUUCAGCCUCUUAGCAGCCUGAUCUGGGAAUGACUUAUGGGAGAUUUGGAUUUGUUAUUAUCAGGAGCUAGUUGAAUUUCUUUGGCUGCAGCAUCGUCACUCCUUUUAAAAUGAAACCUUGCCAAGCAAUGUUGAUGUAUAAAUUUCAUAGAAAUAACAUAAUUGGAUGUGUGCAAUGCAUGGUUCGUCAAGCAGGGUUGGGAGUUAAAACUUGUAUAGUACGGAUCCAAUUAUGUUAUCUUUGAAAUCUAUAUAUCGGCAUUCCUUGGCAGGGUUUUUUGUUAAAGAGAGUGAAGAUGCAGCCAAAGAAACUUAACCAUCUCCUGAUAAUAACAAAUUCAAAACUCCCAGUGAACCAUCCUCAGACCAGGCUGCUUAGAGGCGGAAGGUUGAGCAUACGGAUGAAGGUUCAUCAUUCUUGUAGAGCGACGACAUGUUCUAGCAGCAACGAUGAACCUAGACAUGUAGCAAGGUAGGAGGAGAAACGAACGAAGAAGCUAAUGAAGUGCCUUUGUUUUAUGCCUUUCUAAAUCUUUGUUAUUUCAACUCUCAACAAGUAUAGUUGACAAACACAUGCAAGCAAACCUUAGAACAGUUUAAUAGAAAUAAAGGAGAGGGUGGAGAGAGAUAAUUUAAGCUAUUGAAUACUUGAUAUUUUGUGCAUUAUACUAAAUUUUAAACUUUAUGAUGAGUUUAGAAUAGGAAAGUAAAUUCUGCAGAAAAAAAUCUAAGAAAUGAUGUUCUCUUAAAUAUAGUUGUAAAAUUGGAACAACCUUAUUGUAAUAUCUAGUACUUUCUAUAGUUCUGCAAAUGGUUACUUUUAUAUUUAAGAAUGAUGUUUCUCUUUGCUACACGUCUAUAUUUAUUGCUACUGCUGGAAGAUGUCAUUGCUCAGCCUCUUAGCAGCCUGAUUUGGGGAGAUUUGGAUUUGUUAUUAUCAGGAGCUAGUUGAGGAUCUUUGGUUGCAACAUCGUCACUCCCGUUAACAAGAAACCUUGCAAUGCCGAUAUACAGAUUUCAGAGAGUUAACAUAAUUGGAUGUGUGCAAUACAAGGCGCCUUGGUUGCAUUAUUGAUUCAUCUCGUCAUAUAAGGAAAAAGAAGAAGAUGCAGGUGUCAUAGACGAGCAGAUUACGAAAUAGGUUGCUUUAUUCUAGAAGUUUAUUUGGUGAGCUCUGUCAUUGACCGUGGAGCUUCUUCUCUUUCAGUUAGACAAUUUUAUUCAUUUAUCCGGUAUUUGUUUUGGAGAUUAGCCAGGAAAUCUCUGUCUUGUGCUUUCCUCUUAGCACUCCAGUAUAGACAUAUUUUUAGUUGGGUUAUGGUUGAUCACUUUACUUCGGAUUAUUUUAAGUACAUUUUAGUAUUUAUAGAUUUCAAUUUUUAUUUGAAUUAUUUUAAGAACUGUUGAAUUGAAGGUUCUAACAAAGAGAUUAGUUAUUUAUUUUUAUAUGCAUGUGGGGCAUGUGA